rnacentral:rRNA from 1 species
UACGUAGGGGGCAAGCGUUGUCCGGAUUUACUGGGUUUAAAGGGUGUGUAGGCGGGCUUUUAAGUCAGUGGUGAAAUCUCCGGGCUCAACCUGGAAACUGCCAUUGAUACUAUUAGUCUUGAAUAUUGUUGAGGUAGGCGGAAUAAGUCAUGUAGCGGUGAAAUGCAUAGAUAUGACUUAGAACACCGAUUGCGAAGGCAGCUUACUAAGCAAUGAUUGACGCUGAGGCACGAAAGCGUGGGGAUCAAACAGG